rnacentral:rRNA from 1 species
GACGAACGCUGGCGGCGUGCUUAACACAUGCAAGUCGAACGGAAAGGCCCUGCUUGCAGGGUACUCGAGUGGCGAACGGGUGAGUAACACGUGGGUGAUCUGCCCUGCACUUCGGGAUAAGCUUGGGAAACUGGGUCUAAUACCGGAUAGGAGCCAUCUUUAGUGUGGUGGUUGGAAAGUUUUUUCGGUGUAGGAUGAGCUCGCGGCCUAUCAGCUUGUUGGUGGGGUAAUGGCCUACCAAGGCGGCGACGGGUAGCCGGCCUGAGAGGGUGUACGGCCACAUUGGGACUGAGAUACGGCCCAGACUCCUACGGGAGGCAGCAGUGGGGAAUAUUGCACAAUGGGUGCAAGCCUGAUGCAGCGACGCCGCGUGGGGGAUGAAGGCCUUCGGGUUGUAAACUCCUUUCGCUAGGGACGAAGCGUUUUUGUGACGGUACCUAGAUAAGAAGCACCGGCUAACUACGUG